UUAGGGCUGGGCAAAAUCAUAUUCGAUCGGGUUCGGUUCGACCCGAUCGGAUUUCGGGUUGGUUGGGUUAGGCAGAAAUCCAUCCGAAUUCAGUCCGAACUUGUAAUCCGAUCUGAUCCCAUCAGAAUAUAUAUUUGGAUCGGGUCAAAAAAUCGGGUUGAGUUCGAUUCGGAUCGGAUUCGGAUUAAAAUCCGUUUGGACUGGAAAAUGAAAAAAUUUAUGCCCAUCAUUGGAAAAAAAAUACAUUACAGCUUUCUUUAUCACUGAUUUUCUUUAUCAUUAGCUGGUGAACAUUAAAAUUUUACAAUUUAUAUAUGAUAAUAAUCACAACAUCAAGAAAAACCAUCAAAAUUUCAAAACACAAGGCUUGGGUUGCAGGUUGGAGAAGUCAGGUUGCUGGGUUGAAGUGGAGCUUGGAGGCGAGAAACUUGGUGAUGGACGGAACCACAGAUCCGGUGGCUGUGUCUGCAAAUGAUCAUCGGUUCUUGCAUUGCGUUUUUGAGUGACCAUCGGUUUGCUUUUGUGACUGAAACCCGAUCUGUGAAACCCGAUUGUGUGAGAAAUCGAUUUGUGAAAACUGAAGAGUGAAGACUUAAAAAGAAGAGAGCAAGGCUGUGAAGAUUUAAGGUUGGAAACUGGAGAAAAACCAAAGAAGAGAGUAAAGCAUGAGGCUGUGAAAUCUGAAAUGUGAGUAAAAGGCUAUCUAUUGCGAUUUUUUAUGGAUGAGGGGUGGGUGGUGGGUGUGUCAGUGUGUGUGUGUGUGUGGAUGGGGGGUGGGUGUGUGUCAGUGUUGUAUUUUUCACCCCUUUGUGUGUGGGUGUUUUAAUUUUUUUUUUUCAAUAGCCAAAUCUGAUUGGAUUUUCGGAUCGGAUCGGGUUGACGAAAUUAAAUCCGAUCAGGUUAUGUUAAAAACCCGAUCCGAUCCAAACCCGAUUGUUUUCGGAUUAGAUCGAGUCGG
rnacentral:lncRNA from 1 species